AUGUUCCACACUGGUGUGUGCGCGUCUCUGCCUUGUUUCCUCCGUCCGUGCGUCUGUGGCGUUUUCUCCCUUCGUGCGUCUGUGGCCUGUUUUCUCCGUGCGUGCCUCAGUGGCGCGUUUCCUCCAUUCGUGCGUCUCUGGCCUGUUUUCUCCAUGCGUGCCUCUGUAACGCGUUUCCUCCGUCCNNNNNNNNNNNNNNNNNNNNNNNNNCUCCCAAUUUCACCCUACAGAGUUCACAGAUUGCUCCACAUUUCACCCUACAGAGUCCACAGACUGCUCCACAUUUCACCCUACAGAGUUCACAGAUUGCUCCACAUUUCACCCUACAGAGUCCACAGACUGCUUCAACAUUUCACCCUACAGAGUCCACAGAACUGCCCCACAUCACCCUACACAGAGUCAGAGACUGCUUCACAGAUACUACCAAAGGGGACACAAAUGAUCCCCAAGAAGUAUGAGCGCCUUAAAAGUAAGAAAGCCAACCUCCUCCUCUCUUAAUGCCCUCUCCUCAUUUCCGCAGAACAAAGAAUAUGAAGGGUCCAUGACGCCACUGAGAACGCUCCGCUGGUGGUUACACUCUGUACAUAGGA
rnacentral:lncRNA from 1 species